rnacentral:rRNA from 1 species
AUUGAACGCUGGCGGCAGGCCUAACACAUGCAAGUCGAGCGAGCGGCGGACGGGUGAGUAAUGUAUGGGGACUGCCCGAUAGAGGGGGAUAACUACUGGAAAAGGUGGCUAAUACCGCAUACUAUCGGAUAACCCAUAUGGGAUUAGCUAGUAGGUGGGGUAAAGGCUCACCUAGGCGACGAUCUCUAGCUGGUCUGAGAGGAUGAUCAGCCACACUGGGACUGAAACACGGCCCGAACUCCAAGGGAGGCAGCAGUGGGGAAUAUUGAACAAUGGGCACAAGCCUGAUGCAGACAUGCCGCGUGUAUGAAGAAGGCCUUAGGGUUGUAAAGUCCUUUCAGCGGGGAGGCGUUACUUGCAGAAGAAGCACCGGCUAACUCCGUGCCAGCAGCCGCGGUAAUAC